GGCGAAAGCCUGAUCCAGCCAUGCCGCGUGUGUGAAGAAGGCCCUCGGGUUGUAAAGCACUUUCAGCGAGGAAGAACGCCUAGUGGUUAAUACCCAUUAGGAAAGACAUCACUCGCAGAAGAAGCACCGGCUAACUCCGUGCCAGCAGCCGCGGUAAUACGGAGGGUGCAAGCGUUAAUCGGAAUUACUGGGCGUAAAGCGCGCGUAGGUGGCUUGAUAAGCCGGUUGUGAAAGCCCCGGGCUCAACCUGGGAACGGCAUCCGGAACUGUCAAGCUAGAGUGCAGGAGAGGAAGGUAGAAUUCCCGGUGUAGCGGUGAAAUGCGUAGAGAUCGGGAGGAAUACCAGUGGCGAAGGCGGCCUUCUGGACUGACACUGACACUGAGGUGCGAAAGCGUGGGUAGCAAACAGGAUUAGAUACCCUGGUAGUCCACGCCGUAAACGAUGUCGACCAGCCGUUGGGUGCCUAGCGCACUUUGUGGCGAAGUUAACGCGAUAAGUCGACCGCCUGGGGAGUACGGCCGCAAGGUUAAAACUCAAAUGAAUUGACGGGGGCCCGCACAAGCGGUGGAGCAUGUGGUUUAAUUCGAUGCAACGCGAAGAACCUUACCUACUCUUGACAUCCUGCGAACUUGUGAGAGAUCACUUGGUGCCUUCGGGAACGCAGAGACAGGUGCUGCAUGGCUGUCGUCAGCUCGUGUUGUGAAAUGUUGGGUUAAGUCCCGUAACGAGCGCAACCCUUGUCCUUAUUUGCCAGCGGGUAAUGCCGGGAACUCUAAGGAGACUGCCGGU
rnacentral:rRNA from 1 species